UUUUCUUCUGCCUGUGUGUAUCCGGUCACGUGAGUUGAAAGGGAACGUCAUCAAAAUGGCAGAACAGCCUUGUAAAGCCGAUAUUAAUGCAAUUUUCAAGCGUUUAAGGUCGAUACCGACCAACAAACAAUGUUUUGACUGCAGUCAUAGCAACCCAACAUGGGCCAGUGUUACAUACGGGGUGUUCCUGUGCAUCGACUGUUCAGCUGUCCACCGGUCACUAGGGGUGCAUGUGACAUUCAUCAGGUCCACACAGCUGGACACCAGCUGGACCUGGCUUCAAAUGCGGGCCAUGCAAGUUGGAGGCAAUGCCAAUGCAAUCUCGUACUUCCGCCAACAUGGUUGUGACACAAAUGAUGCACAGAAGAAGUAUAACAGUCGUGCUGCGAUGAUGUACAAGGAGAAGCUACUCGGACUCUCCCAGCAUGCAUGCAGGUUGCACGGCACUAAGCUGCACCUGGAAGAAAAAGGAGACUCUAGCAAGAAGCUUCACAUCGAUGGAGGUCAUGCUGAGCCAUCACCAGACACCAAGGAAGUGGACUUUUUCCGGGAGCAUACAGAGUUUGACUCUAGGGCCAACCAGCCCAGCCCCAUCACUGAGGGAGCUAGACUGUACUCCGAGCCCCAGCCCAUCAAGAAUGGCGCACUCAACAGCAAAGCUGCAGAGAUAGACCCUAAUGAAGGACCCAAUGUUGAGGCUGCCCUGAGCAUGUCCCCCACCCAGGCUGCUGCUAUUGCUGAACCCAGGAAGGCAAUCAUUGGGGGCAAGAAGAGUGCUGCCGCUAAGAAGGGGAAGGGUUUUGGUGCCCAGCGUGUGAAGACAAACUUCAGCGAAAUAGAGAACCGUGCCCAGCAGCUGGACAAGGAGAGAGAGGAGUUGGCCAAGGCUACAGCAGUGCAGGAGGCUCGCACAAAGGAGGAGCAGGACAAACAGAUGGCUAACAUGAGACUGGCCUACAAGGACAUGAGUAUACAGAGGCAGAAACAGGAGGAGAAGCUAAAGGCAGCCGACCCCAAGAAGGCCGAGCAGUUCGAGAGGCUGGGCAUGGGAUUUGCUGGUAGCAAGGGCAUCAGUCACUCUGCCAUCUCAGACAUGCAGACUAUACAGCAGGAGGGCGUCAAGGAGACAAGAAAUGAGCGCAACAACCGACGCCGGGACUUCUUUGAUGAGGAGAUGGAUAUGAUGGGAGGCCGAUUCUCCUCUGGUUCCAGUUCCAGAUACGGAGACAGGUACGAUGACCACUAUGGUUCAAAGCGAGAUGACUUCGGCAGCUGGGGCAAUCCUAACAAAGGCGGCAGUUGGGACAUCGACAGGUUCGAUAGCAAGUCCAGCAGUUCAGACAAGUUCUCUUCCAAGGAUGAAGACAGCUAUCAUAACGAAGAUGACGAGGAGAAUGGGCCUCAGAGGAGCAGCAAGAAGACAUACAGUGAAACAUCCUCAUCCUCAUCCUCGGCGGAUGCCCAGAAAAGAUUUGGUAAUUCCAAGGCCAUAUCCUCCGACCAGUAUUUCGGCAAUAAAGAUAUGGAUUUCGAAGUGCGCCAAAAUCUGAGCCGCCUUGAUGGGAAGACUGGUAUAUCUAGUGACGAUGUGUUCGGGAGGUCGGACAAGGGGUCCUCCCGAGGGGGAUCCAGCUCGCAGUACUACGCCUCCCCGGACCUCCAGGACAUCCGAGAUGGAGUGAAGCAAGGAGUCACCAAAGUUGCCGGCAAAAUAUCCAAUCUAGCAAAUGGUGUUUUAAGUUCAUUGCAGCGAAAAUAACACAUCACUAAUAUUAAGUGGUGAAGCCAGAUUCCCCCCGAGUGUGAUCCUGGUGGUGUCAAAGUGGAUCGCUAUGGGAGUUAACCGAUGUUGAAGCUAAGCCAGGAAUGUGUUUCAUGCCUGCCAGGGACAACAGUAGUACUGACAGACAUUGGUGUUCACCUGACAGCACUCUCACCCAGUGCAGGAAGGUGGAGGCAGGGUUCUCUCCCUUAGAUCAGAAUAGUCACAUGACACUCAUCCAUUUCACCAAUCGGAAACGCCAGUCACGUUCAAGUUUAUGCUCAGUUAAUAAAAGCUCACGAAAAGGGUAAAAUCUGCUUAAAGUGAUAAUGAAAGACUAGUAAAGGGAAAGGGUAAAAUCUGUUAAAGAUAGAGAUACGAAAGCCUGGGCGUGUCGAGGCUUGGAAUAUAGGGCAACUUUGAAUGUUUUACUACAAGGAGAGUAUCAGUGAGGACUGCAUUCACUACUAUUUCAUUGGUUAAAAAUUCCUAAAUGUUACCCCUUGUUGAAGUGAACCAAGAAUAGCUUUGCUGUACUUCACAUGUGUAGCGGUGUGCACCACAGAGCUUUGAAUGUCUUGCAAGCCAGAGGCUAGUAAACAAUUAACAGAAGUUCUAUUUUAAUCUUUUUUUUAUUUAUGCUGUUAAUAUCACUGGACAUUUUUACCAAAUAUGCAUACAGCGAUAAUUUCAUGCAUUUUAACACAAAAUUACCAUUUGAUGCAUAUGUUGAUGAAUGAGCACAUAUUCAAAGUAGGGAAGUUCUGGUGGAAAAGCAGCUUCUUUCUUACAAUUGUGUUGUUCAGUCAUAAGAAUGUGUCCACUAUUUAUCACGUCGUCUAAGGCGCCACGAUUGGCUGUGCAGAGUUGCGUCCCUUGGGCACACCAGAAAUCUAUGAUUGUGGGUUCGAAUCCCUAUUCACCCCGAUUUGUCAACACAAUACCCGUGCUCGUGGGUUUCACCGAAGUGGUAAACGUCUGUGACCUGCAUCACUUCUGGCUUUCCUCCCACAUUAAGCUGUGAUAGUAACUUGAAUACUGUAAAAAAAAAUGGAUAAAACCCAACUUAAAACAUGUUAGAAGUGAAAGUGUUAGUGUAAUAUCUGAAGGGCUGCUUGUAUCUUCCUGGCUGUAAUGACUAGAACAUAACACAGCAGCUGUUUUGCACUCUAUAGUACCUCAUCAGUCGACCAAUUUCUACAGGAGAGAACCCACUGUUAAAACCUGCAAGUCAGCACUUCUCAUAUAGAGGAAUUCUGUGACCAGGAUUGGUGGAUCUAGACAGACAUUUCACCCACAAUCUUGUGAAGUUCAUUGUCAUCGCUUGAUGUGGCCAAGUUGUUGAAAUCGUGUUGUGUUGUUUAUGCAUUGUAAAUAUUGGGAUAGGAAUACAAUAUUUGAAUUCAUUUCAAAUGUGGAGAGAAUGGGUCUAUAUUAGCAUGUUGUUCACUGUUAUUUACAUGCUUUUCAAGUAUUGUUGUACAUAGUCUAACAUUGUAUGUUUCACAAAUGUUGCUGUUUGAAUUGUAUUUUAUCAACCCAAGAAGUAAAAUAUAUUUUCUGUUCAGCAGAGUUAUGUCACUGCCUGGACUUUCCUGCGUCUUGCCAGUUUUAUUUUGAGCGUUCUUUGGUGUUUCACAGCAACAUAGCAAGUAAUAUGUAUUAGGCUGUUUAAGAAUUUAAGUGUUUCUCAGGCGCUUUUUUCUCUUAAGUUAGGAGGUAGGACUUUUAAUUAUUUUUAUUUUUUAGAAAGUGAAGUGAUGCGGGAGGAACAAGAUUUAUCAAGAUCAAGAGGACCAACAAACACAACUGCGUACUCAAUUAACUGUGCUUGUUACCACAAUGUCUGUUGUCAUUCAUGGAUAACAGUCUGCUUCAUAUGAAAUUAGAAUAAGCUUUAUUGGCAAUAAAAAUUACCUGCGUAGGAUUUAAAUGAUGCGCAGAAGCCUGAGAAACGUUUCCUUUUUCUUUUUGCCUUAUGAUUAUCUUUAAGGGGAUUACGUGGUGGAGCUUAGUGAGAUUAGAAUACAAUUUGAAUAUGUACUACUCAAAAGAAGUUAAGGAACACUUGAUUCUUUCACAGUACAAUAGUUAAUCUAUCAUGGCUACAACAGUAAUAGGAAAGAAUCGGUUGUUGUGUAAGCGCUUUUGAGCAGUAUACAAUUUAUACAGACGAAAUUUUCAUCUCAUUCCUUGUUUGAAUGUGAGGAGAGGAAUUGAUAUUUGCAAAGCUAAUUGAUCGUGAGUGUUUGUGUGAUGGAGUGAGGGUCAUUAUUGAGGACAUGUUUUCCAUACAAGAGUAGGAAAGUGUAAGUCAAAUGACUACAAGUGAUGAAUUCCAUGUUAAAUUGUCCUGCAUAUAUAUAGCUUGACUCUCAGGGUGUGGGUAAUGCUGACUAUGGAAUGACAAUUGUAUUUUUGACAAAUCAUCUUGUUUGGGAGCUUUUGGGGCAUAUGAGAGUUGCUUCCCAUUGUCAUGCCAGGAUUUGCUGAUCGAGUCCCUUAGUCAUGCCGGAUCGCGAACAGAUCCCUGGCCUGUCGGCCUCAUACUCAUAGGUCAUCAAAGUGGUCGAUGUGUGAAACCUGCAUCACUUGGGGCUCCCCUUACUUUAAGCUGACAUGCCGUGAUAUAUGAAGUACUGUUCAAAGUGGAAUUACACCCAACUCCCUCAACAUGAGAGGUGAUUGAGGUCAUGAUGAAAAUUUGAAAUUGUAAAAAAUAAUUCUUUUGAUGCAGAUAUGUAGCUUUGGCAGUUCUUUCAAAACAGUAAACAUGUAUUUUCUGAAUAUAUUCCCAGACAGUUAAUCUGAUAGGUUCAUGUAUUAGCUUGCAUUUGUCAUUUUUGGAAACGAUUCACGAUUUUAACAUUCUGAGUUAGAAAAUUCCAAGUUUUCAACCCACUUACAUAGUUACAUCUAGUUUGUAAUUGAAUUUAGAUUUGCAUCUAUGUUGCUUGAGCAAUGAAAUAUUCAGAAUAUAUCUUUUGGUGUCUUUGUGUUUGAGAUAAUUACUUCCUCUUUCCUUUGUUUCACAGUGUAAUAGCUCCACUUCAUGUUUUAGUGGGUUUCCUUAGGCAUGAGAGGGAAGAAAAUAAAUGUGUAUGUUCACAUUGUGAGUAGAAGAAUGGGAGAAUUCAGUUUGCAUCCUAUUGGUCAACUGAUAAAACAGCAAGUGUUAUGAGGAAAGGAUGUUCAUUGAGAAAGCCUCAUUGUCAAAUGUCAUCUUCCUGAGGCAAGGGAGUUAACUGACUUUAAAGAUCCAGUUUCCAUCCAUGCCUAACUAGGCUGGAAUUAUGGAGUUAUGAUUUGACUGGAGUAACGAGUCUAUGCAUAGUCCAAUCAAAAUCCUGUAACGAAAACAACAAUCAGUUUUCAUAGGAGGGACAUAACUACAAUCCAACCUCAAAAUUCCAGCCUAGUUCGCUGAGGGUAGUAACUGGACUUUUAAAGUCAGCUAAUUCCCUUGCCUCAGGAAGAUGGUCAAAUGUAUAGUUAUGCUCACAAACGUAUUGGUCCAGAUUAGCCCUGAAAAGUACACUCAUUUUCAGUCACCUGCUUCCUUGCGUAUAUAAUCUUGUAAAUAUAUAAAUAUUCAUUGUUGAACAUUUUGGGGAUGUAGUUUGCGCUAGCUAAUGGUAUUCUUGGAUAUUACAUAGUAUCCUUGAUGUGGAUUUUCAUUUAAUAUGCUUCUAAGUUUUAGGUCAAUAUAAUUUUGUUCUUUGUCUCAUUUGAAAUCAGAAGUUUAAAUCUGUCAACUAAGAUAAUCAGAUUUGUGUUGUUGAUAGUAAAUUGGUAAAGUGGUCAUUUGUUCAGGGAUACACGUUUCCAUGCAAACCAUUGUCAUCGAGAAAGCAACAGUGAGCAGCCCUGAUGGAACAGAGUCCUAAUUGAACAGAAUUUUAGCAAACCUGUGAUGAACUUACAUGACAACUUUCUAGGGAAAUGGGUGUUGAUUAAUGGGACCAUCCCAACGACAAUCGAUUAUUCAAUUCUUUGUUCAUUUUUGUAGCCGUCCAUAAAAGAUAUUGUAGGUUGUACCCUUGGUGAUUAGCUACCGAUUUCUCCUUUAAGAAUAUAAACAUUGUCUUUUCUUCCUUAUGAGUCACUCGAUAUGCAAAUUCAAAAUGAAAAAUUGGAAAUGUUUUAAGUGAAUUUUUAUGUUGAUAAGUUGUUGUUUUUUAAGAUAAGUUAAUUUUGCAUACACCUUUUUCUUUUCAUGUUAAAAUAUUGCCAAAAAUAGAAGCGUGACAUAAUGUUGUUUGCACUUGGUGAAAAGAGAAUUCAGGUAGAACAUAUAACACUGAAAUACACAGAAGUCUCAUUUGUUUAUUUUGCAAUAUGUUUUUCAUCAAUUUUGAUUUUGUUCAUGUGUCAGUCUGCAUUUAUCCAUUUGACAAGCGCUAUAAAUGUUAUUGUUCGAUUUUAUUUACUAGUCAAAUAAACUGUGAUGUUAUUUUGUGUCUGGUUUAGACAGCUGAGAAUGUGCAAAUUAAGUAUCUCUGUAUACUGUCAGGUAGGGAUAUUUGAAAUACGAGACACCAUUUUCAGAUCCCAGCUAUGAGGGGAGACACCAGUAAGUAACAUUCAGUGCAAACGGUUUUAAACAUUGCUUCAUGUGAAUAUUUCAUUUCAUGUUUUGUCCUACUAAGAGCUCUUCUGUAAGUUUUAGGAAAGACGUGUGAGGGAUUGUUUCUAUUUAUCAAACUUAUACACUGGUCAACACAUGAAAGAAAACCUACAUCCCACUUAAUGGACACUACCAGCCUAGUAGUCCUUACAACAAUAAUGGCCUUGUGGUCAGUCACUGGUCAAGACUUGGGUACAAUGUGUGAUGGAGUACUCUGAUUAUGUUUUGUUUCUUGUGUAGAGCUGUAGUUAUCUGAUCUACCUUGUGUCAAUGCCAUCCACCUCGGGGCUCCAACUGUACAUAUAUAUAUAUAUCAUGCAUCCUCCUCGAUGGGAACUCGCGGAAAUAUACAUAUAAAAAAAAUAUAAAUAAAAAAUCAUUUACUUCA